rnacentral:rRNA from 1 species
CAGCCGCCGCGGUAAUACCAGCAGCCCAAGUGGUGGUCGCGAUUAUUGGGCCUAAAGCGCUCGUAGCCGGGCCGGUAAGUCCCUUGUGAAAUCGGACGGCCUAACCGUUCGGCGUGCAAGGGAUACUGUCGGUCUUGAUGCCGGGAGACGUCCGAGGUACUCCGGGGGUAGCGGUGAAAUGUUCUGAUCCUCGGGGGACCACCGGUGGCGAAGGCGUUCGACGAGAACGGGCCUGACGGUGAGGGGCGAAGGCUAGGGGAGCAAACGGGAUUAGAUACCCCCGUAGUCCCUGUCUCUUAUA